rnacentral:ribozyme from 11 species
UUUUUUUUUUUUUUUUUUCUCUUUUUUUUUUUUUUUUUUUUUUUUUCCAAUUUUUUUGGCUUUUAUUUUGGAACAAAGAAUGAGGAGCUCUUUUAGAGUCCUGACUGUUGAUUCAUU